AGAGAGAUAAAGGGACA
rnacentral:misc_RNA from 1 species